rnacentral:rRNA from 1 species
UGGGGAAUUUUGGACAAUGGGCGCAAGCCUGAUCCAGCAAUGCCGCGUGAGUGAAGAAGGCCUUCGGGUUGUAAAGCUCUUUUGUCAGGGAAGAAACGGUCGGGGUUAAUACCUCUGGCUAAUGACGGUACCUGAAGAAUAAGCACCGGCUAACUACGUGCCAGCAGCCGCGGUAAUACGUAGGGUGCAAGCGUUAAUCGGAAUUACUGGGCGUAAAGCGUGCGCAGGCGGUUCUAUAAGACAGGUGUGAAAUCCCCGGGCUUAACCUGGGAAUGGCAUUUGUGACUGUAGGACUAGAGUGUGUCAGAGGGGGGUGGAAUUCCACGUGUAGCAGUGAAAUGCGUAGAUAUGUGGAGGAACACCAAUGGCGAAGGCAGCCCCCUGGGAUAACACUGACGCUCAUGCACGAAAGCGUGGGGAGCAAA